AGCGUCCUGCUCCUCUCGAAGCCUUGCGUUUAUACGUGGGGUACUUAUGUAGGGAGUGCGGGACGCU
rnacentral:sRNA from 12 species